rnacentral:misc_RNA from 1 species
GAAGAAACCAUUGGUUUUAGUGUCAAGAAUGCAGUUCUCUUCCCCAGCGAAGCUGAGAAAGGAACAUGGCCCGAAGAUUAUUCACUUUCUGAUCACGCCAAACUUACAGUGGUGUUUUCACCUGUAAGAAUGCUAUGCUGUCAAUUGUCCCGUUAGUUUUCUUGAAUGUUGAUUGCCUUGGAACUGAAUUUUUAAGUAAAAGAGACUUUGAGGGUUGUAGCCAGACUACAAGAUUCUCAAACUGCUGCCUGAGUUGUCGAACGGGGAGACUUAUGCUUGCUUCCAACUGAACUCUGCUGAAGAUAAUAAUACCACCUUGAGGUUUGUAAGUAAAGAUAGUACAAGAGGGUGCCUAGUCUUUCAGAAGAGAUAUGGCUGAUGCCUGUAUCUUGGUGUUCAUUCAAAGUGUCUGUUCAUGUCGAUCAAAGACUUACUCUAGCGUUCAAGUAUAAUGCCAU